rnacentral:rRNA from 1 species
GAUGAACGCUGGCGGCGUGCCUAAUACAUGCAAGUCGAGCGAACGGACGAGAAGCUUGCUUUUCUGAUGUUAGCGGCGGACGGGUGAGUAACACGUGGAUAACCUACCUAUAAGACUGGGAUAACUUCGGGAAACCGGAGCUAAUACCGGAUAAUAUUUUGAGCCGCAUGGUUCAAAAGUGAAAGGCGGUCUUGCUGUCACUUAUAGAUGGAUCCGCGCUGCAUUAGCUAGUUGGUAAGGUAACGGCUUACCAAGGCAACGAUGCAUAGCCGACCUGAGAGGGUGAUCGGCCACACUGGAACUGAGACACGGUCCAGACUCCUACGGGAGGCAGCAGUAGGGAAUCUUCCGCAAUGGGCGAAAGCCUGACGGAGCAACGCCGCGUGAGUGAUGAAGGUCUUCGGAUCGUAAAACUCUGUUAUUAGGGAAGAACAUAUGUGUAAGUAACUGUGCACAUCUUGACGGUACCUAAUCAGAAAGCCACGGCUAACUACGUG